CUUACUGCCGCGGGGAGAGAGAAGAGACAGAGCCAUGGUUAGCAUUCUGUGAAGUCUUUAAGAGAGACAGAAAUAUGCUCCUUUUACAUAUUAGAUGCUGGGAUAAGCUCAUUGCCGAAUCCAUCAACGUCGGUCUGCGACUGUUGUGAUGAGCUCCAACCGAAUCUACAGCCUGAUUUAGAGCUCUGCAACAACUUAAAUCCUACUAAAGGCCUUGCAAAAAAACGGGGCCUCUCCUAUCCUUAGGAGGUACAGAUGGCCAGCGUCAGGAAAGCAGUGUUACCCAAAGGAAGAAGUCAAGGCAAAUGAUCGCAUUUCACAGGUCUCCUGGCACCUACAAGACACCGAAGCCUGGCCUUUCAACAGAUGGGGAGGCAGAGGCAGACAUGGUGCAGGGCCCAACCAGCAAGAGGAUGAAGUAUCUUUACAGCACAACUGGCUAAGAGGAAAAAAGUCUACAUUUAAAACAAAAUGAAACAAAAUAACAAUCUCCUCACCCCACCUCUACCUUGCAGAAUUGUCCUGACAAAAAUGACCCACAGAAUUUAAAAGAAAAGUGAUGUUAUUGAAAUUACCACCAUAUGAGUUGCACUCUUUGGGACAUAUGUUUGCUCAGAUGUAGUCAACUUCAUUGUUCAGCCACUGUGGAAACAAGGUAUGUUGGACUGAAUGUUUGUUUGUGUUCCCCUGAAGUUCAUAUGUUGAAGCCCUAACCCCCAAUGUGAUGCUAUAUGGAGGUGGGGACUUUAGGAGGUAAUUAUAUUUAGAUGAGAUUGUGAAGGUGGGGCUCCAUGAUGGGACUAGUGUCCUUAUAGGAAGACAAAGAGACCAGAGUUCUCUCUCUGCCAAAUGAGGACACAGUAAGAAGAUAGCUGUCUGCAAGCCACGAAGAGGUCCUUCAUCAGAAUCCGACCAGUCUGGCACCAGGGUCUCACAUGUGCAGGCUCCAGACCUGAGAGAAAUAGAUUUCUUGCUGUUUAAGCCACCUAGUUGAUGACACUUUGUUAUGGCAGCCCGAGCUGACUAAAACAUAAGGUACUGAGGGUAAGAAAGCACAGUGUGGGCUCAUGGAAACCUAACAUGUUGAGCAUUGUGCUACAAUUCCAAGGACUCAUGGAACGUCCAGCGACCUCAGGAGCAGAUGCAUGUUUCUCAACCAGACACAUUAAGAAUAUGGGUUCUAGGGACUUCCCUGUUGGCACAGUGGUUAUGCCUGCCAAUGCAGGGGACAUGAGUUCGAGCCCUG